rfam:Chlorobium sp. GBChlB GB_Chlorobi_Contig_133, whole genome shotgun sequence.
GAGCAUAUAGCUCAGUCGGUAGAGCAUCUCACUUUUAAUGAGAGGGUCGAUGGUUCGAGUCCAUCUAUGCUCA